UGAUGAAGAACGCAGCGAACUGCGAUAAGUAAUGUGAAUUGCAGAAUUCAGUGAAUCAUCGAGUCUUUGAACGCACAUUGCGCCCCCUGGCAUUCCGGGGGGCAUGCCUGUCCGAGCGUCAUUGCUGCCCUUCAAGCCCGGCUUGUGUGUUGGGUCGUCGUCCCCCCCGGGGGACGGGCCCGAAAGGCAGCGGCGGCACCGCGUCCGGUCCUCGAGCGUAUGGGGCUUUGUCACCCGCUCGAUUAGGGCCGGCCGGGCGCCAGCCGGCGUCUCCAACCUUCUAUUUUACCAGGUUGACCUCGGAUCAGGUAGGGAUACCCGCUGAACUUAAGCAUAUCAAUAAGCGGAGGA
rnacentral:misc_RNA from 1 species